UCUGAUGGGCUGGGGCCAGGCUUCACGCUCUUGUCCAGGGCUCUGCUCACAAGGCCUGGCGAGGACACAGGAACCCAUUGUCCUGCCAGCUGAGUCUCCCUGGAAUGUGUCCUCCCAGCUGUGCGGACACUGUCGCUGCCAGGAGCAUGUGAUCCUCUGGCAGCACUGAGUGCUUGGGAGGGGUCUGCCUUGCCCCUCCUGGAAAUAAAGAGAGACAAGGGAGAGUCUGAGGCCAGGACCCUGCAUCGACACCAUUGGAAACUUGUACCUCAGCAUUGCCUGAACCAGCUGCUCAGGGUCCAGCCUGAUGCAGCGUUGGAGCAGGAGUGCUGGAGAUGGAAUUUAUCUCAUCCCAACAAACUGGAGACACCAGACAGACACAGGAGAGGAAUCCUGGCAUUUCUUAAUCACCAUAUGUUGGUCACUCAGAAAGGAGAAAUAUCCAGUUUUGUAUGCAAAAAAGGCGGCAGGAGACAACCGUCGAUGUUCUGCUCUUGGCCUGUUAAAACCUCAGGAAGUCCUCAAGCCCUCUGCUCUCAGCUCAUGAACCAGAUCAGACUGUUGCGGCAUCCUGGGCUUUGCACGGUGAUCAGUAGGUGGCGCUGCGUCCCGAGCUGUGGAGCAGAGCAGCGAGGGCGCGAUUCGCCGCUAGAUGGCGCCUUGUAACCGCCCUGUAUGGUCGCUGCCAGCCUUUGCCUCACUGCAUCCUUCCUUGGCCACAGGGUCUUGAUUCUGCAUCGUUGGCCAUUGGGACCUCUGAUCUGCAUCCUUAGCCACAGUCCCUUAUCCCUGAAGCCCUCCCCGCGCUCUUUCUUCCAGGCUCCGGCUUCAUCUCCAAACACUGAGUCAAAGUCAAGUCUAGCUGAAAAUACACCAUCUGCCUGUGAAAAAUCUCGCUGGCGCUGUCACGUCAGCAUCCGACGCAGGUUAAUAACCGGCCUCGGAGCAGAUGGCUGCUUUUUAUAAUUACCGGGUCCCUGCCUCGGCUUGCUCCCCUCUGCUUCCUCCCCAGCAGGAGCAGGUGGGUGUCACACCACCGAGCGUGCCUUCCCACCUGCUGCCACCAGCUACUGGUGGUGACACAGACCUGCAGAAGGCUCCUUCUCCCCAGGGAGGCCUGGACCCAGAUUAAACAGACCGUCAGUUUACCAGAGAGGACGCAACACGCAUGCUGCAUGCCAAACCUUGGAGGGUAAAUUAAUGAGAGAUGAUGAUUGGAUGACUCAUACUUUUAAAUUCAUCUUUUCGCUCUGGAGGAGUCGUAAUCCAAAGAUACAUCAAAUUUCAAAUGACAGAGACGGUAACUCAAAGCGUGUUCACCGCAGCACUUUGCCUUGCCUGAAAGGCCACCUCACCCCAAAUGCCAUGAUAUAGAUUUUAGGAUACUGUGUAACCAUUGCCAGUGUUUCCGAGGCUCAAUGAUUAAGAGCAUUGGCUUUUCUUCUAGCAGACCCAGGUUCGAUUACAGAUUUGAUUUCCAGCCCCCACAUGGUGGUUCACAACUGUCUGCAGCUCCAGUUCCAGGGAAUCUGACCCCUCCUCUGGUAUAUGUCAGGCAUGCCUGCCGUGCACUGACAUACACGUAGGCAAAACACCCAUACACGUGCAAAUCAAUAUGUACAUUUUAAAAGGAAUAUGAAAUUAGUGGUACAUGCUGAUGAGUCAGAGGGGGCUACACUCUUCUUGAUUUUUCAAAGUUUUCAGCAAAAGUCACUGAUAAAUAAAAGGAAAUGAGUGGUUUUUUAAGGACUGUUUAAAAAAAAAAAACAGAGUUAAAGGUGAGCAUGGUGGCACAUGCCUGUGAUCUGAGAUUUUAGGUGCCUGAGGCAGGAGGAUCAUGAGUUUGAGGCGAGCCUCUAACGACACAAUGAGAGCCCCGUCUGAAAAAUAACCUCAACCUGGACUAAAUCAAACCAACCAAUCCAAGGCAAACCCACCAGAGCUCAGCACAGGUGAAACUGGUAACAGUGGUUUGUUCUGAGUCAGUCCGGGCAGCUGUCUUCUCCAGUUUGCGUCCUCCGGCUUCCUUUAGGUUUCGUACUGGGCAGCUACAAUCUAUCAAAACUUAAGUUUAAUGAAAACCUUCUGGUCCCCCGAACCUGGCACAGAGUGACCACAUGCAGGGGCAUGGAGGGUGAGUCCGACUGCUUAACGAAGGAAUCCUAUUACAUACAACUCUGACUUUUCUAAACGCCGAGUGUAAGCGACUGCAGAAUUUGACUGUUCAAAUGGGGCACACACUUCUACUCAAAGCAGGUGGGAGACCGAGGCAGGAGGAUGGUGUUAAGUUCGACAGCCUGGAUUACAAAGCAAUACAGUGAGGCCCUGACUCAAACUAACAAAACAAAACAAUACAAGCAUCCCCUAAUGUGAA